rnacentral:rRNA from 1 species
CCUACGGGAGGCAGCAGUGGGGAAUAUUGGACAAUGGGCGAAAGCCUGAUCCAGCAAUGCCGCGUGAGUGAUGAAGGCCUUCGGGUCGUAAAGCUCUUUUACCAGGGAUGAUAAUGACAGUACCUGGAGAAUAAGCUCCGGCUAACUCCGUGCCAGCAGCCGCGGUAAUACGGAGGGAGCUAGCGUUGUUCGGAAUUACUGGGCGUAAAGAGUACGUAGGCGGUUAUUCAAGUCAGAGGUGAAAGCCCGGGGCUCAACCCCGGAACUGCCUUUGAAACUAGAUAACUAGAGUCUUGGAGAGGUUAGUGGAAUUCCGAGUGUAGAGGUGAAAUUCGUAGAUAUUCGGAAGAACACCAGUGGCGAAGGCGACUAACUGGACAAGUACUGACGCUGAGGUACGAAAGCGUGGGGAGCAAACAGGAUUAGAUACCCUGGUAGUCCACGCCGUAAACGAUGAUAACUAGUUGUUCGGUCACUUGGUGACUGAGUGACGCAGCUAACGCAUUAAGUUAUCCGCCUGGGGAGUACGGUCGCAAGNUUAAAACUCAAAGGAAUUGACGGCUGGAAGAGUGCGAGACGACGACGAGGGAGAGG